rnacentral:lncRNA from 10 species
CCUCUUCAGCCUGGCCUCUCUGCUGAGGAGUUGUUGCCCAGGGUGCCUUCAGGCCUUGGUGCUCUGACAGAGAGGACGCUCUGGGACACAGCUGAUGUCCUUGCCACCUGACCCUGAGAGUGCUCAGACAAGGCUCAGAGGAUGUCGAGAGCUGAAAAGAGUCCUGCUGACCAUCCUAGGGGCGGGCAAAUUUCAGCCUGGACUCGGAAGACCUGCCCUUGCCCAAAGCACCUGAGGAGAGUGGGAUCAGUGUCAGCCACAGCAGGUUCCAGAGAGACACAGGUGAGGAAGACUGUUGUGAGAUGUAUGGACCCUGGACAGAGUUUGUUUUGUGACCUGCUACAUAACCCAACUUCUGGCUCUGGGCUUGGUUCCCAACAAGAGUUCAGUGAUGACGAGUGAAUAAAUGAAUGAACGAAGACCUGGUUCCUGUCCUUGAGAAACUCAACUCUUCUAAGGAAGAAAUGAAGCCCACUUCUCUUGGGUGCCUCUAUGUGUUGGACAUAAUUUUAGGUUCUCUCACGUACAUCACAGAAUCUUCAAAACCAGCCUAGAGGAGGUUGAAGUGAGCUGAAAUUGUGCCAUUGCACUCAGCCUGGGUGACAAGAGCAAGACUGUUAAAAACAAACAAAAACCAGCCUAGAGAAUAAAUUUUAUUUUUUCAACUUUAUAGAUAAAGAAACUGGGGCUUAGAGAGGCAAAGUGACCUGUCCAAAGUCUCAUAGCUAUUGAAUAAGGGAACUGACAUUUGAACUGAGGUCCUUCCACUUCCAGUGUGCGCUCUUCCUGGAAACAUUAUUAUCAUUUGAUUUCAGAGCUACGCAAGACAGAUAUGGAUGAAGUGGCACAUGAGCUGGGAGUGGUAUGUGAGAAGGAAGCUCAGAAAGGCUUCACAGGAGUAACAUUGGAGAUGUGUUUUGAAGGAUCAGUAGGAGUUCACCAGACUGAGAAGAUGUGGAGGCAUGGUUAGAAAAGGAGGGGCAAAUUGUCUACCUGGAAGGUUCCCUGUAGGGGUUGGUGGGCAGGCUGCCCCCUCCCACAUGUGCUCUGUGGCACUGCCUCUCUGUGGAGCUGGACUUCCUCUCCCUUUUUGGGAGGACAACAGAUGGAAGCCUCAUCUUAUGCUGGCACAGCCUCAUCUCAUGCUGGCACAUUGCUGCCAAGAGGCCAGGAAAUCUCUGUUGUGGGCCUCCUACCCUGGUGGCAGAGCCAACUGUGCUUCUGGAAGGAAAGAAAGAGUUCUCUGGGAAGUUAAAGGAACUAGAAACUUUCUUCCUCAUAACCGACUGGAGAGCUUGUUUACCAACACAUGACUGCUCCAUUCUCAAAAGUCUCUUCCCCUGCCAUGGGAAGAAGGCAGCCCGCAGCUACUGGUUGACAUCCCACCACCUAGGCUACCACAGUGGAAAGUGAGUAUCUCUUUCCCAGAAGUUCCAGGAAAUGUCCCAGAGUUGGGUCUCAUUGGCCUGGCUUGGAUCUCAUGCCCAUUCGUGACAUAGCAACUGAGGCCAGGGUGUGGA